GAUGGUACUUCGCGGGAAACCGCGCGGGAGAGUAGGUCGCUGCCGGAU
rnacentral:rRNA from 1 species